UACGGGGGGUGCGAGCGUUGUCCGGAAUCACUGGGCGUAAAGGGCGCGUAGGUGGCCUGAUAAGGGUGUGGUGAAAGUCCGGGGCUUAACCCCGGAUCUGCCAUGCCGACUGUUAGGCUAGAGUGCUGUAGGGGCAGGCGGAAUUCCGGGUGUAGCGGUGAAAUGCGCAGAUAUCAGGAAGAACACCCGUGGCUAAGGCGGCUCUCUAGUACGGUACUGACGCUGAGACGCGAAAGCGUGGGGAGCGAACAGG
rnacentral:rRNA from 1 species